AUUGAACGCUGGCGGAAUGCUUUACACAUGCAAGUCGAACGGCAGCACGGGGCAACCUGGUGGCGAGUGGCGAACGGGUGAGUAAUACAUCGGAACGUGCCCAAUCGUGGGGGAUAACGUAGCGAAAGUUACGCUAAUACCGCAUACGAUCUACGGAUGAAAGCGGGGGAUCGCAAGACCUCGCGCGAAUGGAGCGGCCGAUGUCAGAUUAGGUAGUUGGUGGGGUAAAGGCUCACCAAGCCGACGAUCUGUAGCUGGUCUGAGAGGACGACCAGCCACACUGGGACUGAGACACGGCCCAGACUCCUACGGGAGGCAGCAGUGGGGAAUUUUGGACAAUGGGCGCAAGCCUGAUCCAGCCAUUCCGCGUGCAGGAUGAAGGCCUUCGGGUUGUAAACUGCUUUUGUACGGUAACGAAACGGUUCUCUCUAAUACAGGGGUAAUGACGGUACCUGAAGGAAUAAGACACCGGCUAAC
rnacentral:rRNA from 1 species